UACGGAGGGGGCUAGCGUUGUUCGGAAUUACUGGGCGUAAAGCGCACGUAGGCGGCUUUGUAAGUUAGAGGUGAAAGCCUGGUGCUCAACACCAGAAUUGCCUUUAAGACUGCAUCGCUUGAACGUCGGAGAGGUGAGUGGAAUUCCGAGUGUAGAGGUGAAAUUCGUAGAUAUUCGGAAGAACACCAGUGGCGAAGGCGGCUCACUGGACGACUGUUGACGCUGAGGUGCGA
rnacentral:rRNA from 1 species